rnacentral:lncRNA from 1 species
AUUAAUUAGCAUCAGUUAUUUCAAGAUGUUUAAGAAAAGAUUGACUUAAAUGAUAUAUGAACUAUGAAUAGUAGUACUUUAUAAAGCUGACUUAGAUAACACAUCAGCACAUCAUUUCCAGUCCUUUUUGAUGCCUAAAUUCAAUUUCUUCAGAGCAGUUAUUCCACAAAGAGAUCGUAUGAGAUAUUGUUUUGAUAUUCAGAUUUGUUUCUUGACUGUUAAGAAGAUUGAUAACUGUAAAAAUGU